rnacentral:lncRNA from 1 species
AUGGGAUGCUUAUCUAUUCUGACCUGAAAAGGAGUUUCUCCACUAUAUGACUAGUCUAAUUAACCACUUAGUAGAAAAGAAACGUUCUUUGAAAGCCAUCAAAGAAUAUAUUUACAAAGUUGGAAGACAGAUAACACAACCUAUCUCUGAACUCAUCUCUCUCUAUAAUCUCUGUGAAAUAUCAGAGACGCCAACAAUGAUUAAGUUCAAAAGACUUAUUAUUGAAAAAAGGCACAAGAAAUUUUAAAUUCUAAACUCCAAGAACAUAUCUAUAAAAAAGCUACUCAGCCUGAUGAGUCAAAGAAACUCUUUGAAGAUAUACAAUUAUUCUUAGACAACUAGACCUAUCCCAAGCUCUUUCUACCACUGAUAAAUAUACUGACUAGACCAGAAGAAAUCAGAGCUUUAUAUAAAGGGCUUGUGAAGCUGAUAUUAAUAGACUGUGCCAUGCCAUAUGAUAUGUUUCUUUCCAUUGUUGUUACCACAC